GUCUUAUUGAUUAUAAUUUUAAGUCAAAUCUGCUCAAYGAAAUUUUAAAUAGCUGCAGUAUAACUAACUGUACAAAGGUAGCAUAAUAAUUAGUUUUUUAAUUGAAAACUAGAAUGAAAGAUUUAAUGAAAUAAAAACUGUCUCAAAUUUAUUAAAUAAAUUUUUUAUUUAAAUUAAAAAAUUUAAAUAAAUUUAAAAGACGAGAAGACCCUAAAGAAUUUUUAUUUAAAAAUAAAAUUUAUUUUUUUAUUUUUUAAUUUUAAUUGGGGUAAUUUUAAAAUUUAAUUAAUUUUUAAUUAAAAUAAACAAUUAUUUUUGAAUAAAUAUAUAUUUAUUUUAAAUAUAAAAUUUAAAUUACCUUAGGGAUAACAGCAUAAUUUUUUUACAAAGUUCAAAUUUAUAAAAAAGCUUAU
rnacentral:rRNA from 1 species